rnacentral:sRNA from 1 species
UGGCAGUAGACACCCCUGUGGUCAAGCUC